rnacentral:rRNA from 1 species
GACGAACGCUGGCGGCAUGCCUAAUGCAUGCAAGUCGAGCGAACAGAUGAAGUGCUUGCACUUCUGACGUUAGCGUCGAACGGGUGAGUAACACGUAAGGAAUCUACCUAUAAGCGGGGGAUAACAUUCGGAAACGGGUGCUAAUACCGCAUAAUAUCUUCUUCCGCAUGGAAGAAGAUUGAAAGACGGCUCUGCUGUCAAUUAUAGAUGACCUUGCGGUGCAUUAGUUGGUUGGUGGGGUAAUGGCCUACCAAGACGAUGAUGCAUAGCCGACCUGAGGGGGUGAUCGGCCACGUAGGGACGGAGACACGGCCCAAACGCGUGCGGGAGGCAGCAGUAGGGAAUCUUCCGCAAUGGGCGAAAGCCUGACGGGGCAAUGCCGAGUGAGUGAAGAAGGCCUUCGGGUCGUAAAACUCUGUUAUAAGAGAAGAACAAAUUGUAGAGUAACUGCUACAGUCUUGACGGUAUCUUAUCAGAAAGCCACGGCUAACUACGUGCCAGCCGCCGCCGUAA